GUUCACGGAGGAGCCGCUACCGCCCCCGCCCCUUCCCCUUCCAUAGCUCGCGCUCUUCCUCUCUUCCCCGCCCCCUCGCUCCGCCGGCCGCCGGCCCGUCGACUCCUUCGCCUCCGGGGAGCGCUGCCGAGGCGGCCGUGUUGCUUUGGGUCGCGCGCUGCAGCGCCCCCUUCCCUAACCCUAGCUCCAUCACAUGCCCGACCCGCCGCAGCUUGCGCCGCCUCCUACAUCGAGCCCCGCUGUCCGCAUCCCCGCGGCGUCGCCAUCUUCAUCCGCGUGCACUUGGCGAUGGCGCCACCCACUGCCGGCCCUUGGACCGUGCUGCUCGAGCGCGGCGCCGGCUCUCGAUCCAUCCGGAGACGGAGAUGGAGAUGUCGCAGCGGAGCAGAAGCAGACGCUCGAUGCGGCGCUCCCCCGUCCCUCUUCCUCCUGCAUCAACUGCAUGCGCUCGAUUCGGUGCUCUCCCGUCGCUCCUCCUCCUCCAUCGUCGGGAGGGGCGUGGCCUUCUACUUGCGCCGCUGCUCCAGGUUCUCUCUCUCUCUCUCUCUCUCUCUCUCUCUCUGACUAUUGCGAUGGAACUGCAGGAGACGAACGAGUUGGGCUCGGACGUUGCCGGCCGCCUGUUUGGUCUGCAAGAGGAUGCUCCCCUCUCCCUCUGUAAUUAACAGGCAAGGUACCAUCUUUCUCUCUCAGAUAUGAUGCAUCCAUCAUUUGGGUAAUGAUUUUUUCCAUGAGCUUACUGCUUCUAUGCCCUAAUCAGAUAUUAGAUUACGUAUGGCCCUCAGUUGCCCCUAAAACCUCAACUACUGAUGUUGCUGAGGUUACAGCCAUAACCGUCUUGCUUUGGACAGAACUUAUAAUUUCUUUUGCAUAAGUGUGCCAAGUGCUGAACUGAUUCAUGUGGCUGGUUGUUAUUGGGCAUUUGUGUGGUUUAAAUAUUUCAGUAUCAGUGCAAGAUCAUCUGUCUAUUUGAGUAUUUAUCUUGGUACAUGAACAUAUUCAUAUCAAUAUAGCACAUGAAUACUUGACAUGGCUAUCUAUUUUAGUCUUGCAUUGAUAUUUUGAGAAUGGAAGUGGCCUGAAAGCCACUUGACUGAAUUGCCAUCUCUUACAAAGUGGCAAUGCCAUGAUAAUUAGAUGCCUGCAGGGGAUCUUCUUUUCAUUGAAACAUUUACCUAUGAUAUUGAGCAUAGUUCAUUUUUCUUGAAUUUCGCUGCCAUGUAUGUGUUACUUGGAAAUUUAGCCAUCGAGCAUGUGCUUGGGCAUGGUUUAACAUUGCAGAAUAAUUGUUUGAUGUAGUUGGGGUUCUCUUUUUUGUGCGAAGUGCAGACUGAGAUGGUUUCUUGUGCAAAGUGCUGCUACCGGUAAUUUCUGCUUCUUGUUCUUUUCAGUCAGUAGUUACUUAUUUAGUGACAUUAUCAAAAUCAACUUCAGUUUUGUUAUUUGAUUGCCUCUAGUUUUUUUCUUGCAUGUAGGUCAACAAUCCAAUUUUGGUAUUUGAUUUCCUCCAUUAUAUUCUUAUAGCCAGUAAUAUGAAUUUUUUAUUUGAUUGAUUUGUGGUGGCUGGCAAUUAUUUAGGCUUCAGCUCAGUAAGAAUCUCCCCCCCCCUAAUCAAAUAUAUGCUAUUUUCCUCCAUUUUGUUCCCAUCUGAUAUCCAGUAGAUGUGAAUUUUAUUCCUUGUCCGUGAAAAGCUACAAUUUUUUUACUGGCACUACUUUACUAUCCUCCAAGGUGUGCUUCCAUUUAAAUUCUGCAGGUCCUUUCAAUCAUUCAUGUUGCCUCUUGAUAUGUUUUACCAGAAGGGAAAUGCAUCAAUAAGCUUUCUGUGUUUUUUUAUUUAUUUCUUGAGUUCGUGCAUUCCUUAGGUUACGCCAUGUUAAUAAAAGCCCAUUAUGUGAUCAGGUAUUCAUACUUGGACCAUAUGACAAUCCUGCCAUAGCCAGUGCAGCUUGAUGACUGUGUAGUUGCUAGGUGCAGAGGGUGUUGCUAAUAAAUGGCCAUUACUUGAUUAGGUGUUAAUGCUCUACUCAAAUUGCACUGAUAUUGAUCUUAAGAUGUCAAGCAUUUUUAUUAACUGGUCUUCCUCGACUAAAAUAUCAUGGUCUUUCUCUUCUGGUCACUCGCAACGGAUGUUAUGUUUCUUUUUUUGAAGUAUAUUUGGAUAUCUGAAGUUUUUUUCCUGAAUUAUGGCUAUCCUUUAUAGUAGUAAUGCUAAUUUGAGUCGAUAUAUCGGUGUUCCGUACCAUCCUAAAAAUGAGUCUCUGGUGACAGUCAUAGUUCUUCAUUUUCAUUGGAUUCCUAUAUUGUUUCUGAAUAUUUGAUGUUCUGAAUAUUAAGGAAUUACUUAAUUUCUAAAAUAUGUGCAUAUCCUGUUAUCAUCAUUGAGGGAAUCAAUUGGCAUAAUUUUAGUGUGUACGUAUAGUUGAUUCAUAUUCAAAAUGUCAUUCUAUGUAACCAUGGGGUUUAGUUUUGCAUCAUGCUUGCCUCUAUAGUUUUGCUUGCUUAAUGGUCCUACUCCAUUGAGUGUUGCUCUUUUACCAAGAGUUAAUUUUCCUUUGAAAGUAUAAAAUUUCAAGCUUCAGAUGUGGUUUAUUAUGUUCUGAUUGGUCCUACUUUCAUACGAUAGAAUGCUGAUAAUUAAUUUUUCAUGCUGAUAGAUGUUGCCCCACCAUUCCAAACGAAAUGUGUAACCAGGCCACCGCUAGGUAUGUUCUUUUUUUAGGUCGGGUAAAAAAGCACUCGACACGAGUCUACCGAGGGCGUCGCCGGCAUAGACACGGUAGACUCAAGGGCAUUGCCAGAAGUCUGCAGGAGGUGCAGCAGAGAGGUCCUAGCGACCACGGCGGCACAUCUGCGGCUGGUCCACCUCGGGCUGCUUCUCCACCACCAAGCGCUUGCCCCGCGUGUGCUUCUUUUCUCCCAGGAGUGGACCGUAGCCAUGGAGAGCGGCCAGAGGAGCAAGGACGGUCAGCCCCUGCCUCCUCUCCUGCACGGCUGCACGUGAUGGGGAUUACGAGCGACGUACAUGAUUUUGCAAGUACAGGUGAUAAAGAUUCAUGAUUUGGCUGCGCGCAUGCUUGCUGGCUGGAGGAGUUUGAUUCAUUGCUUGAUGGCCUCAAAAUGGAUACAAGAUCUGUUGGAAUCAAGAAGGCGUUAAGAUAGCCCACUUGAUCUACUUUAGCUUCAUGCUUUAUUAAUGGCCAGCUUACUUACUUUGAUAUAUAACACUUAUGUUGAUUGACAUCAACUCCAACUAGCAUAGUGAUGUGAAAUAUUCAUGCAGUGUGUCGAAACUGUUCCAAAAAAUCAAAUAAAUGGACCUGCGUCGAAAGGGUAGCGCUGCUACUUACUUGGUUAAGUCAAACAUUAAUGUUGAUGCACAUGUCAAAACUGUAGGGUUGCAAUUUAUAUUUUGUUGGAAGAUGGGAGACUUUAUUUUUUUUCUACACAAGGGCUAUCAAGGCUGCUGUGUACUGUACCACCUCUACUUUUCCUCAUUCAAGGAGAUUGAACCUGAUGCAUUUCUAUGCAAGGGAAUUUAAAUUAUGUCUGAUCUGUACCGGGACGACGCCGACAGUAAAAGGAACUAAGGAAGGGUUCUCGAGGUCUGCUCCUUCUCCACCGGUAGAGAGGAGCCUCCUUCUCAUGAUUCGCAUGUCUGCCCCGGCCCUCCCCGGCUAGAGCUGACGCCAUGGAAGGUCUGGCGGCUCCAUGGAUACAUGGAAGCCGCCAUCAUUUUGUCGGACAGCCGCCAUCAUUUUGUCAGACUAAGUGUGGAGUUACUUGUGCAAGUUCCACCAUCAACAAACACAAAGUUCUGCAUGCUAUCAUCGCAAGUAAAGCAGUCAGUCUGUUAGGGAGAAAACAAAGGCUUGUGUGCUCAUUAGUUUUUUUUGUUAUAUCAUGUGGUCUCCUUAUCUAUCUGUAACAUGUGACCUGUGCAACUGCAAAAAUGUUAGACAAUAAAAUUCUGUGUAACACAUGUUCUUAUACACUUUGCCUAUAGAGACUGUGCAUAGUUAUUCCCUUUCUUGUUGCUUGUGUAAUAUAUAUUGUAAACAAAUUGUCGUGACCUACUGAACCUUGCACUUUUGCUGUAA